rnacentral:lncRNA from 1 species
CUGCUUCUCUCUCUUCUCUCUCCUCUCAAUUGAGGGGGUACCUGGUGAUCUUGGAUGCAAUGGUGAAACAUCCCAGGUUUCACUCUCACUGCCCUCACAACUGCUCGGUGUAACUACCACCCCCCACCUUCCAACUCCGACGACCACCACCACAACGCGCACAGCAGUGAUCGUGAGAACACGCGCUGGUUCAGGACCGACCCGGAUGCCCCUUUUUGGACCAACCUAAUUUGGUGUUUGGAGGCUACAGAUUUUAUCGUUUUAUUCUUUGGUCUUAUAAAGACACCCCACGUAGAGAAGAACUAAAGGAAAUUAUUUGGUAGUUUUUUUUUUUUGGAGUGAAUUUGUCAUUUUUCGGAACUCUUGAGUCAUUUCUAAAAGAGAAUUCAAAAUUCCAAUAACAAUAUUAGGUUGUCCAAAAAAUCCGAGAACGUGAACCGAACCGAACGCUAGGCCAACCGUGUAUUUUGGAUUGGUUCAUGUUUUAAUAGUUAGGUUCUGGUUUUUAAAAAUUAGAACCGUAAAUUUGGUCGGUUACCGAUUUUUAUUUUUUAACCGUGGUUUCGAACCGAACCGAACCGAAAUCUAUUAUAUCUUAUAUAUAUAUAUCGGGUAUAUAUUUAUUUAGACAUUAUUCACAACUACACGUGAGUACUUUUAGUUUUUCUCCCAACAAAAAUUUUUCACUUCCCAUGGAUAUUGGAUUACGCUAUCCAUUUUCCAUCAAAACAUUUCAUAUUCUUUCUUAUCCAGAUUUUAUCAGUUACUUUUUUUUUUGUUAUCCAUUAAGAUUCUUUUUCAGUUUUUUAUUUAUUGUCUUUUUUUGUUGUUAUCCUUAUGAAUUCUAAUUUUUAUGAGUUUAUUAUUGCAAUAUUAGGGUUGGUUUGAUUGAGUCAUAUCAUUUAAUGGAGUCAAUUAUGAACUAUUUUAAUACUAUUUUUGGUUCAUGACUUGAACAUAUGAAUUUAUGGGUUAUUGUUAAAUAAUAAUUUGUUGAAUUUUAUAUUUUAUAAAACUAUUUGAAUGUUAAUUGGAUUGAACCGGAACCAAAUCGGAACCGAACCGAUAAGGCGAUCGGUUGUGGUUGGUUCUAUACUUGUAAUGGUUAGUUCCGUUUCUUAUUUUUUUCAGAACCGUUAAACAUGGAUUGGUUUUACUAAUUCUUAUGGAACCGGACAUCCGGACCAUGGACACCCUAACAAUAAUUACAAUUUGCCCCUUAUACAUGACAGGUUCAAGUAUCUAUAUUUUUUUAUGUAAUUUUAAAAAAAAAAAGAUAGUUUUUUGUUGUUGCUCAAAACUAAUAUUGACACACACGAUCAAAAUUUCGUGGUUCGGCCAACGAUGCUUACGUCAACGGGAGAAAAUCAACAACUACUAUCAACGAAUGGAUUACACGGAGCAGACUCACCUCUCAUUCACACCCUCUCUCACAAUUCUCUCUGCUGUCUUGGCCUCUCAAUCUCACCGCCAGCAAUCUGCUCUCAAACCCACAACACAACGCACGUAGAAAAUCUAAGCACCUACCAUCCCUUUUAUAACCAAAAGGAAGGAAGGUGGUACACUCCUACCAGAAUACCUAAUCAUUAUCUAAUCUAUCUAGGAAGACAAAAGAUAACGACUCUCAAGAGUCUAGAUAACUCGAGAGUUUCACCGCACAUGGACCUCCAUAUGAACUCCAAUCGGGCUGGACUGGCUACUGACUUGGACCAUCCAAUUGGACUUGGAUUCAUUCAAAUGGGCUGGACUCAAUAAUCUCCCCCCUCCAGCCCACUGGAGGUAAUCCUAUGUCUUCAGUUAUCCUUUCCUGACAGCUUCUGAUCCAACUCCCCCAUAAGACUGCCAAGACAGCACCGAGAUACCUUAGCCUCAUCAACGGGCUAUCCAUUCCUACCGAAUGUUAUGCACCUCCACACCGAAAGUGCUGCACCUCUUACCGAGGUGCCCUGCCACCCUUCCCACUGGGUGCCCUCUCCUGGUGCGUGGGGUGCUGGGUUCUCCCCGUGCCGUGACAGGCGAGGGACCUUCUUGGCGGCGUGGCUGAAAAAACAUUAAACUCUUUAGAUGCGAUGUGUAAAAAUGACAAUUCCUCCAAAACUUAUACAUAUAUAAAACAAGACUUGAAUUAUAACAGUAAAUGUGAAGGAAAAAAUCAUCAAGCAUAAUAUAGGCUAAUAUCACAGUAUAUAUAUUAUUGCACCCGUAUAUAUGUUUUUUCUUAUAGCGAUUGAUAUAUCAUCCGAUCAGUUACCUCUCCCCAUAGAAGGCAUAAAGAGAGGGAGAGAGGAUUAUUAAUCAUAGAACACAUGUUGAUAAAACAAUCGAAGCCUAAUAGUACUCGACUCGUAAUCGACUUGUUAAAACCUUGCUUAAGAUUAGUUCAUUUGGGGCUCGAAUAUGGAAGAGAUUAAUUCAUGUACUCUAUUUUUAAAACUCGUUAAGUUUUUAAAUUAAAUUUGAAUAAUCUACUAAUAUUCGGCUCGAUAAAUUUAUAAUCUUUAAAAAAUUCAAUCUACUUGAGAUCGAUCGUGAUUAACUUGAUUAAAAUUCGUUUGAGAUCGGUUCGCUUGAUAAAUAAAUCAAAUCUAAAUUUAUUUUUAAAACUUGUUAAAUUUUUAAAUCAAUAUAGUAAUUUACUAUUGGAGUCGUUUAUGAGCUUGCACACAUUCUCGUUGAGAAGAACGUGGAAACGAUGAAAAUUAUUCAAUUGACUACAUCAAAGGAGUUGGGUCAACAUUUACGGGGCACAAGAAGAGACUUAUAUAAAAGCUGAGUCAGAUUCGUAAGAAUAUACAUUUUAGCGUCAAUUACACUCACCUCCAUUGAGAUAUCUAACAAAUACACUAGGAUACCCUUCUUUUUCUAAAAUAGCAUUGACAUCUCCUGUCAGACAUAUACACCGUCAAGAAAUUGUGGGAUUGCCAUAUUACCCUUACAAUUAAAUGGUUGAUUGUUGACUCUGAGUCGUUUUUUUUAAAUGAUGAGAAUAAAAAUAUUUUACCACUAGGUAUAAACGCAACAACUACACUAAAUUAUUCCCCUUCCAAUGCACUGGAGAUUGGGAUGGGAGGCGCCGGUUGGUGGUGUUACAUGGUCAGUGGCGACUCAAGUAUUUUUUUGUCAAUGGUGACGUGCAUUUAGAACUAUAUUAUAUAUAUUCCUUGAAAUUUUACACGCAUUAAUUUGUCAUAGAUUUCUAGCAAAUAACUUAUAACUUACCUAAUCAUAAUCAAGAAAUGCAUUUAAGAAUUUAUUUCUUGUGUUACAAUUGGUUUUCUUCAAAAAAAAUUGGUUAUUGCAAAAACUUUAUAGUUUCCAAUAGUCUUUUAAACAAGUUAUCCAAUUCGCAUUCUAAUAUACAUCAGAUUCUAAUAAAGAUAAACAUAGUAUCUUGAAUGUCUCUCAGUUUUUUUAACACCAAUACUAAUGGAGGUUGUACAGAUGAGGGAAUUUGACGUGUAAAUCUGUCGUGACAAACCAGAAGAGAGUGAAGCGUUAUUUCAGAAAAAUCAAGGGAGCUCAGUGUAUUUGUCAGAUACGUUUUAGUGUAAUUUAACCAAAAUUUUAGCAACAAAAGUUGGGUCAAAAUUCGAACAAGUCAAAAGAAUGCAAAACUCGAGAACGAGUGACGAAGGCAAAGUCAAGGCGCAAGGAAAGAGGGAUUAGUGGGUCCCACCUCUCUCUCUCUCUCUCUCUCUAUAUACCCACCAUAGAGUCGUUUCUCCUCAACCCAAAAUCAAAUCACUUUCUCCCCUCUUUCACUACAGCUGCUUCUCUCUCUCUCUCAAUUGAUGGGGAAGUACAUGGUGAUAUUGGAUGCAGGAGUGAGAAUAGCAGCCAGGUUUCACUCUCACUGCCCUCACACUGCUCGGUUGUACUACCACCCACCUUCCAACUCCGACGACCACCACCACAACGCGCACAGCAGUGAUCGUGAGAACAACGCGCGGGUUCAGGACCCGACCCGGAUGCCCACUUUUGGAGCCAAGCCUAAUGUGGGUUUUGAGGCUACAGAUUUUAUCGUUUAUUCUUUGGUCUUAUAAAGACACCUCCACGUAGAGAAUGAACAUAAAGGAAAUUAUUUGGUAGUUUUUUUUUUUUUGGAGUGAAUUUGUCAUUGUUCGGAAACUUCUUGGAGCAUUUCUAAAAGAGAAUUCAAAAUUCAAUAACAAUAUUGUACAAUUUGCCACUUUACAUGACAAGGUAAAGUAUAUAUAUUUUUUUUGUUGUAAGUUUAAAAAAAAAAAAGAUAGUUUUUACGUAUUUGGCAUAACUUCACAGAAACACUUAUAAGCUUUUUAGCAUUGUUUUGGGAUAAAUAAGCUUUUAGCAUUGUUUUGAGGUAAAAAAAAAUAAUUUUUCUUAAGCAUCUUAAGGGUGCUUUUGCAUCGUUUACUAUUCUAAUGGUGGGUCCAAAUAACGAAAACUUAAAUAUCCUUAUUAUUUUGAGAUAAUUAUAAUCAAAAUGCCACUGUAAUUAUUAUUUUGCCUUUAAUAAAUAAAGGGCAAUUUAGAUUAUUUUCAUUCAAUUUUUUUUUAAUAAUUUUUGUACCAAACAUUUCACAAUUGCUUAAAUUCUAAUCUCACAACUCUAUCAAAUUUUUUUUAGCUUAUAUUCAAAAGUCAACAAUCUACAAAAAAAAUAUUUGAAUAUUACACCGAUUGAAAGUAGUAAGUCAUUGAUUGACGAAGCAGUAAAUCACAAACCGUUUAAAAUGAACAAUGGGUGAGGCCUUGUAUCGUUCUAUAAUACACUUUACUUGCUUUAUCCUUUACAAGUUGGUUGGGUGUAGGGCUGUUUAUGGGUCAGUUCGGAUCGGGUUUUGGGGACACCGACACCCAAACAGAACUAGCCGGAUUGGAAAAAAUUUGGUGAAUGAUAGGAUAUGCUCUGACUAAGAUAACUAAGAUGAUCAUUCAAAAUAGAACCAUUAACCCACGAAAUCAAAAGUAGUGUGAGAAUUGAAAGAGAUUGAAGCAAAUUGUAAAACCUUGUCAGUUUCAAGAUCGCUGAUGAGGACUUGAAGAGAGUUUUCGAAGACGAUGGUUCUAUACUUUCUCUUGUCCGAGAGAGGCUUCAUAAUCUUCACCGUCUCUUCCUUCCCCUUGAACAACGUCUUCAUAAUCGCAAACGCCUGCGAGAGAGAAAGCCAAUGUGUUUUGUGUGAGACUCUGAGUAGUUUCAGCAACAGGCGCGUUAUACUACUUUUGCCAAUGUUGUUCAAAUUAGAGAAACUGGUCCUCAAAUUUGGA